GGAAGAUCCACGACUGAAAUUUCCAGUGCAUUUGAGAUCAAAAGCUUCUUUAAAUCCUAAUGAUUUGGGCCCUCUUCCUCCUGGUUGGGAGGAAAGAAUACAUUUGGAUGGAAGAACGUUUUAUAUAGAUCAUAAUAAUAAAAUUACCCAGUGGGAAGAUCCCAGACUGCAGAAUCCAGCAAUUACUGGUCCAGUAAGUACCUGGACUUGUGCAAGACCUUUGACACGGUCAUGGACUAUUCUGUGGAUAAAGAAUUGGUUGGAUGGCUGUAGCCAGAGGGUUGUUG